AUGUUAUCAAGAGUGGACGAAAGAAUCGGCUUAAUGACUCCACAGCAACCUGUAUUUUAUAAGGUGCUAAUACCGACAAAGCAAAAAGUGCUUUGAAUGAUGAUUU
rnacentral:ncRNA from 2 species